rnacentral:other from 1 species
GCGCUUCUGGGCUGUCCGUGAGGAACCGUGCAUGCGGCCCCUCCUUUGAAGUCAACCUCGGGAUCCGACCGUCAAGCAGGCGUGGUGAGCAAGCCCACCUCGAAGUGGGAAGCCUGAAGCGCCGCGGAAGGAACCCACCUUUCCAACGGAAGGGUGGGCCGACACGAAAUCCGACACCGGCAAGUCCGGUGCGCU